rnacentral:rRNA from 1 species
AUUGAACGCUGACGGCAUGCUUUACACAUGCAAGUCGAACGGUAACAGGGUGCUUGCACCGCUGACGAGUGGCGAACGGGUGAGUAAUACAUCGGAAUGUACCCAGUAAUGGGGGAUAACGCUUCGAAAGGAGUGCUAAUACCGCAUACGCCCUGAGGGGGAAAGUGGGGGACCGCAAGGCCUCACGUUAUUGGAGCAGCCGAUGGCUGAUUAGCUAGUUGGUGAGGUAAAGGCUCACCAAGGCGACGAUCAGUAGCGGGUCUUAGAGGACGAUCCGCCACACUGGACCGGAGACACGGUCCAGACUCCUACGGGAGGCAGCAGUGGGGAAUCUUGGACAAUGGGCGAAAGCCUGAUCCAGCAAUGCCGCGUGUGUGAAGAAGGCCUUUGGGUUGUAAAGCGCUUUUGUCUGGGAGCAAAUCCUGGCCUCUAAUACAGGUCGGGGAUGAGAGUACCAGAAGAAUAAGGACCGGCUAACUACAUGCCAGCAGCCGCCGUAACAC